rnacentral:rRNA from 1 species
AUACGGAGGAUGCGAGCGUUAUCCGGAUUUAUUGGGUUUAAAGGGUGCGUAGGCUGUGCGUUAAGUCAGGGGUGAAAUGCCGUCGCUCAACGACGGAGCUGCCCUUGAUACUGGCGUGCUGGAGUACGGAUGCCGUUGGAGGAAUGAGUGGUGUAGCGGUGAAAUGCUUAGAUAUCACUCAGAACACCGAUUGCGAAGGCAUCUGACGAAUCCGUCACUGACGCUGAGGCACGAAAGCGUGGGGAUAGAACAGGAUUAGAUACCCUGGUAUUCCACGCCGUAAACGAUGAUGACUAACCGUCGGCGAUAGACAGCCGGUGGCCAAGCGAAAGCGAUAAGUCAUCCACCUGGGGAGUACGUCGGCAACGUUGAAACUCAAAUGAAUUGGCGGGG